GACAUGUCAUCACUUCAUUUUUUUGCGCCUGCUCAUCAAUCUGAAAAACGUGAGUUUGUCAUCAUUUUUUAUCUAGACAUAGGAUAGGUUGUGUGAAAAUAUUACUGAUGUUUAACGUUAAAAAUGGACCAAAAGAUUAAUGCUAAACAACAUUUGACAUUUUUGAACGAACAUAAAUAGAUUAUUUACUAGGUUUUUUUAGCUUUUCGGCGUGAUUUUACCAGCCCCCCACCACGUUUUGUGGGAGCAUAAUGAACGCUAAGUACUUGGUGUUAUUUGGACAUAAAUUAUGAACUUUGUCAAAAGAAACCACAUUUGUUCCGGACCUGGAAUGCCUUCCGGACCUGGGAUCCUGCCUUCUGAUGGAGAUAAUCAAAGGGUCAGACGAGGUGACCAAACGUGUCAUUACUCUUCGAGUUGUUUACCGGGAAGCGGGAAUCCUGCAAAGAUGGGCUGGGAGACAAUUUAGCAGAGGAUAGGGCUGGAGGGAAAGCUCACAGGUGGCCAGGCCUCAAAGAAGUAACCCUUGUGUGGUGUUUGGGUCUGUGGGACCCAUUUCCAAUGUUUACUAAAAUAAAAAUGAUACAAUGAUUCAUUUUUCAACCUGACUUGUUGGCCUUGGCUAAUUUUCUGUGAAGGACAUGUAAAAUAACACAUUUUCAUUGAGUGCACACUGUGCACCCCUCUACACAUGUAUUUAUAUUACAUAUGUGGUGUUCGGGUCCACUGGACCCGAGGGUAAUAAAAAGUGUGGAAAAGUGUGUGUGUAGGUG
rnacentral:lncRNA from 1 species